CAGGAAGAUGUUGUCUGAGCUCUUGAUUUACUGAGCUGUGUUCUUCUUAUUGUUUACUGAAUCAUCGUCACAAUGGAACCAGAUCGCUCCCAUUUGCCUAACUAAAAGCUACCUGAAGUACAUGACGUCGACCCUGAAGAAACGGACGAAGUAGUAACGUUGGCAGAGCAUAAGUUACCUGAUUUCUCCACAGCAGUUUUCUUCAAUGAAAUAAAUUUUGAUUGAUUUCUUUA